UACGGAGGGUGCAAACGUUGCUCGGAAUUAUUGGGCGUAAAGCGCACGUAGGCGGCCAACUAAGUCGGACGUGAAAUCCCUCAGCUUAACUGGGGAACUGCGUCCGAUACUGGAUGGCUUGGAUUCGGGGAGAGGGUAGUGGAAUUCCCGGUGUAGUGGUGAAAUGCGUAGAUAUCGGGAGGAACACCAGUGGCGAAGGCGACUACCUGGCCUGUUCUUGACGCUGAGGCGCGAAAGCUAGGGGAGCAAACAGG
rnacentral:rRNA from 1 species